rnacentral:rRNA from 1 species
GAUGAACGCUGGCGGCGUGCUUAACACAUGCAAGUCGAACGGAAAGGCCCAAGCUUGCUUGGGUACUCGAGUGGCGAACGGGUGAGUAACACGUGGGCGAUCUGCCCUGCACUUCGGGAUAAGCCUGGGAAACUGGGUCUAAUACUGGAUAGGACCACUUCUUGGAUGUUGUGGUGGAAAGUUUUUUCGGUGUGGGAUGAGCUCGCGGCCUAUCAGCUUGUUGGUGGGGAAAUGGCCUACCAAGGCGUCGUCGGGUAGCCGGCCUGAGAGGGUGUACGGCCACACUGGGACUGAUCUACGGCCCGGACUCCUACGGGAGGCAGCAGUGGUGAAUAUUGCACAAUGGGCGCAAGCCUGAGGCAGCGACGCCGCGUGGGGGAUGACUGCCUUGGGGUUGUAAGCUCCUUUCGCGAGGGACGAAGCGUUUUGUGACGGUACCUUGAGAAGAAGCACCGGCUAACUACGUG